AUUUAAAUUAAAAAAAUAUAAAACUCCGGUAUUUAUUUGAAAGAGUUAAAAUUACUUUCAAAUCAAACAAAAAAAAAAUAAAAAACCUAAAAACACAAAUCCUCAAACCAUUCAAAAUAAAUUUAACAAAAGAUUUCACAUUCUCAUUAUUCCAACCAAUCCAAACCCAUGUCCCAAACAACCCCUAAAAGUAAUGGUUGCAUUACUUAUUCUCCACCGAUUAUACUUCAUAGCUUUUUGUUUUUGUUUCGUCUUCCUCCUAGUCUUGUAAUUUCUUCUUCAUUUCGCUGUUGAUAGAAGCUUGGAAGUUUAGUUACUGGAGUGAGGCUUUUCUUGCGGAGGUCAUUGAAAAGGAUUGCUCGGACAACGUCUCAUCGGUGGAGGAUUUCAAAGGAUUCUAAUAAUAUCAGCUUUUGCUAGAAUCAUGACUUAUAAGGAGCGGCUCAAAUAUCAGACACCACACAUUUGGUGUGGUUCAUGCCAGCUAACAUUUCACAAAAAUACCUUGGUGAGGAUUUCCCUGUUCAUUGAGCAGCUUAUGAAAACAAAUGGAAGCCACAUCGCUAUGGUGAUUUUCGUAGAUGUCACGAGAUGUUGAUGCCUGUUUUUAUUAAAGAGGAUCCAAAUGUGUUAUAUUGGUUCAUGGCAAGAGUGGAUAAGGCCAACCAAAAAACUACAAUUUGGGACUCCAAGCAAUCUGAAUCUGGGAGGGAAGUCAUACUGGAACAUACCAAAGAAUUGCUUGCCACACUGGUCGCGUUGUUCAAAUUUGAUAUUUGUGGGACUCAAUCUGACGGUUUUACAUUCACAAUCUUUAUGAUUGGUUUUGAAAGUGGCUUGCCCCAACAAAAAACGACUUCGACUCUGGGAUUGCUGUUUUAAAGACAUGGAAGCGUUGGGGGAUCAGAAUGGCAUUGUGUAUGAGUUUGAUGCUGUAAGUGAGCGAUAUCGUUUUGGUGACGAAAUAGUCUUACAUGAGCUGAAUAAAAGUAUGGAGAAGUUGUGAGGGAAAGCGAGGACCAUUUUCAGUUUGAAUUUGGUUCCUCAAGUGAAGCGACUGGGGUCUUUUCAAUGGGAAAAGAUGUUGCUGAAUGUGAAUCAAUUCGCAGUCCAAGUCGGGAGCCCUGACAAGCGGUUCUCAACAAAGAAAGCAAAGCGGGCCAACAUGAUACCAGCUAUUUCAUCUCGGACACAAAGUUCUGCAAAAUACGCUGUUGCACGUAAGCUGAAUGUUGGGGAUACUAGUCCUUAAGAGUUUGCUUUUAUGAACUUUUGUUCCUUAGAUUUUGAGACAUGGAUUGGAUGUGGCAAUUCCAAGCUGGUGAAGAUGCUUGUUUUAGUUUUCUUUUUUGUUUGCUGAAUGCACUGGUUGACUUUAUUGGUGGCAGCCUACCUCUUUUGGGACAAUGUUUCCCUUACAUCAACUUAGUUAUGGGACAGUGUUUCACUUCCAUUAACUUAGUUAGUUUUGGUUAUUUUCAUUUUAGCUAAGUUUAUAUGACUUGUUGCUUUAUAAGGAUAUCAAUUGACAACUUUGAUAUAACUAUUUGCUUUGGUUUA